GGUGUCUGCCCGGCACAGGAAGUGGCGGAGACAACUGGGUUAUCUAGAGCGAGUGACCUAUUCCUGGAUUUCGCGCCCCCGGCGCCACUCGCGUCCACCCGGGAGGCAGAGCUCGCCCUUGGCCCCCCAGGAGGCCAGCAGCAGUGGAGAGACAGACGAAGACUCUUCGCCGCCGAAUCUCCGUCUCCCCCUACCUCAGCCAGUUGACCAUGCUGGGGCACAGCCUUCAGCGCUGUGAGCCUCGCGCGCAGUAAGCCCGGCCCGUGCCCCUCCCGGGCGGCGCAGACUCCCGGGGGGUCACCGCUGGCUUGCGGGGCGCACUAGCUGUGCCCGGGUUGGGCCCGGGGCGCGCGGGGCCCGCUUCUCCUCUUUUCUGCUUGUCGAUCGAGGGAGGGGCUUAAAUCUUGUGACUGCAGAAAAUAAAACAGCCUGCUGUUGUGCAUCUGCGUUUCUUUUCACUUGCUGCGUCUGCAACUUUUCUUGCCUUUACCCUCCCUCGGGUUGCAGGGGCCCGAGGGAUUCAGAUGUUCAAGUAGUCAGGUAAUUGAAGACAACUUAGGAAAUAUAAGAAACCAAAAAUCAAGCGGGUCUGGACAUUCAGGAUUAACUGCUGUCAACAUGUUGGAAUAUUUCCUUGGUGUUAUCUUGAAUUUAUAUAUUAAA